AUUGAACGCUGGCGGCAGGCCUAACACAUGCAAGUCGAACGGUAACAGGAAACGGCUUGCUGUUUCGCUGACGAGUGGCGGACGGGUGAGUAAUGUCUGGGAAACUGCCUGAUGGAGGGGGAUAACUACUGGAAACGGUAGCUAAUACCGCAUAACGUCGCAAGACCAAAGAGGGGGACCUUCGGGCCUCUUGCCAUCGGAUGUGCCCAGAUGGGAUUAGCUAGUAGGUGGGGUAACGGCUCACCUAGGCGACGAUCCCUAGCUGGUCUGAGAGGAUGACCAGCCACACUGGAACUGAGACACGGUCCAGACUCCUACGGGAGGCAGCAGUGGGGAAUAUUGCACAAUGGGCGCAAGCCUGAUGCAGCCAUGCCGCGUGUAUGAAGAAGGCCUUCGGGUUGUAAAGUACUUUCAGCGGGGAGGAAGGGAGUAAAGUUAAUACCUUUACUCAUUGACGUUACCCACAGAAGAAGCACCGGCUAACUCCGUG
rnacentral:rRNA from 1 species